GAUGAACGCUGGCGGCGUGCCUAAUACAUGCAAGUAGAACGCUGAAGAGAGGAGCUUGCUCUUCUUGGAUGAGUUGCGAACGGGUGAGUAACGCGUAGGUAACCUGCCUUGUAGCGGGGGAUAACUAUUGGAAACGAUAGCUAAUACCGCAUAACAAUGGAUGACACAUGUCAUUUAUUUGAAAGGGGCAAUUGCUCCACUACAAGAUGGACCUGCGUUGUAUUAGCUAGUAGGUGAGGUAAUGGCUCACCUAGGCGACGAUACAUAGCCGACCUGAGAGGGUGAUCGGCCACACUGGGACUGAGACACGGCCCAGACUCCUACGGGAGGCAGCAGUAGGGAAUCUUCGGCAAUGGGGGCAACCCUGACCGAGCAACGCCGCGUGAGUGAAGAAGGUUUUCGGAUCGUAAAGCUCUGUUGUAAGUCAAGAACGGGUGUGAGAGUGGAAAGUUCACACUGUGACGGUAGCUUACCAGAAAGGGACGGCUAACUACGU
rnacentral:rRNA from 1 species